CGCAAUGGGGGAAACCCUGACGUAGCGACACCGCGUGAGCGAAGAAGCCCCUUGGGGUGUAAAGCUCUGUCAGCUGGAACGAAAAAAUGACGGUACCAGCAGAGGAAGCAUCGGCUAACUACGUGCCAGCAGCCGCGGUAAGACGUAGGAUGCAAGCGUUGUCCGGAUUUAUUGGGCGUAAAGAGUUCGUAGGUGGUUUGUUAAGUUUGGUGUUAAAGAUUGGGGCUCAACCCUGAGACUGCACUGAAUACUGGCAGACUCGAGUGUGGUAGAGGCUAGUGGAAUUCCCAGUGUAGCGGUGAAAUGCGUAGAUAUUGGGAAGAACACCGGUGGCGUAGGCGACUAGCUGGGCCAUAACUGACUCUGAGGAACGAAAGCCA
rnacentral:rRNA from 1 species